rnacentral:lncRNA from 1 species
UCUAUCUAGAUGUACAUCCUACUCCUAUAGUAGACCAACUAUCGUUAAUAUCUACUACAAAGACUUAUUGAGAUCAUGUUUAUGUGUCAGUCAAACUUCAACAGUCUCACUGCGAGCAGUCAUACCAUUGCAGGUCAAAGGACCAUUCACACAACUAUAGCAUCGAGAUAAUCACUGAAGAUCGAGUAGAAAUCCAAAUAAUCUCUCAUAUAAUCAUGCUCAGUACUAGUUGUUCUCUAACAACUACCUGCACUCGUCACUCAGUGUCUCUACACUGUAGAUCAGAGACUCAUCUACCC